GCUUUAUGCCCAGAGAAGCAGAGAAACGUGAGGAAGGCUGUCGGUGACUCACCCCCUGGAAAACUUCAUCAAGCUGAUUAGGUUGUCAGCUGGCCAGUGUGCUCCAAGGAUUUCUUUGUCACCUUGUCACUGCUAGGGUUACAGACUACACCUGAGAUCCUUCAUUCAAUCUGCUUCCCGUGUUGUUACCAAGAGCCCAUAUGUGAAACCUGCUUCCUAUAGGAUGCUCCUGACCAACCAUAGCUGUCUUAGCUGAGCUGUUUCAACUUCUUCUGUCACAUAUAUACAUAUGGUGGCUGGGGACCAGGGACUGAUGAGUGUAGCUUACCAAAGGCUCUUUGCCUGAAGAUUGAUCAGAAAAUCAUUCUGCUGCAUACAGAAGACAUGUGAGAGAAGCUGACCAAAAUCAAGGAGGCUGGUAGCCCUGGAUGGCCUAGAACUCUCUAUAUGACCUUGGACUCUAUAUCCUCUUGUCUCUUCAUCCCGGGGAUUACAAACUAGAGUUACUAUGUCCCAAUUCUGUGGGCUUUGUACAUGCUAGGCAAGUGGUCUACCAACUGAGCCAGCUAUACACACCCUCCCACAACUCAACUAGGUUUUCGAUGCAUUUCUUCCACCUUGGAUUUCCUUAGAUACUGAGUACAGAAAGCAAAGAGCUGGGGCUAAGGUGCCAUAACAGGUAUUCUUUAGGGGUGAAAUUUGAAUGUCUUUGCUCUAAGAAAAUGCAUCCUUGUCAUAUGUAGUUCAAGGUGGUAAGGUUUGGAAUCUGAGCUUAUUUACCUUCUUUGUAGCUCUGAAUUUUGUCUCCUCAACCAUAUGCCUGCUCUCAAUGAUGAAGGUAAUU